GGCAGUGAUGGGUAGCUGGUCUGAGAGGACGACCAGCCACAUUGGGACUGAGAUACGGCCCAGACUCCUACGGGAGGCAGCAGUGGGGAAUCUUGGACAAUGGACGAAAGUCUGAUCCAGCGACACCGCGUGGGGGAUGAAGGCUCUCGGGUCGUAAACCCCUUUUCUGGGGGAAGAAUAAGGUCAGGAGGAAAUGCCUGUCCGAUGACGGUACUCCAGGAAUAAGCAUCGGCAAACUCCGUGCCAGCAGCCGCGGUAAGACGGAGGAUGCGAGCGUUAUCCGGAAUUACUGGGCGUAAAGGACGUCUAGGCGGUUGGGUAAGUCACUUGUGAAAGCCCUCGGCUCAACCGAGGAAAGUCUCGUGAUACUGCCCGGCUUGGGUGUAGGAGAGGGGAGUGGAACUCACAGAGUAGCUGUGGAAUGCGUAGAUACUGUGAGGUACCCCGAUGGCGAAGGCAACUCCCUGGCCUACUACCGACGCUGAAGCGUGAAAGCGUGGGGAGCAAAGGGGAUUAGAUACCCCCGUAGUCCACGCCCCAAACGAUGUUCACUUGGUGUCGGCCGCAAAUGUAGGUCGGUGCCGGAGCUAACGCGUUAAGUGAACCGCCUGAGGAGUACGGCCGCAAGGCUAAAACUCAAGAGAAUUGACGGGUCCCCGCACAAGCGGUGGAGCACGUGGUUUAAUUCGAUCGUAAGCGAAGAACCUCACCCAGGCUUGACAUACUAGUGGUAGGAACUGGAAACAGGGACGACCCUACCUUCGGGUAGGGAGCUAGUACAGGUGAUGCAUGACUGUCGUCAGCUCGUGUCGUGGGAUGUAGGGUUAAGUCCCGAAACGAGCGCAACCCUUGUCGUUAGUUGCCAGCGGGUAAUGCCGGGGACUCUAGCGAGACUGCUGGUGAAUAGCCGGAGGAAGGCGGGGAUGACGUCAAGUCAUCAUGUCCCUUAUGCCUGGGGCGACACACAUGCUACAAUGGGUGGUACAGAGGGUCGCGAAGCCGUAAGGUGGAGCCAAUCUCAAAAAGCCAUCCUCAGUUCGGAUUGAGGUCUGCAACUCGACCUCAUGAAGCCGGAAUCGCUAGUAAUCGUAGGUCAGCCAUACUACGGUGAAUAUGUACUCGGGGAUUGUACACGCCGCCCGUCACACCAACCGAGUGGGGGGUACCUGAAGUCGUCUCUAGGAGGCGCCGAGGGUAACCUUCGCAAGAGGGGUGAAGUCGUAACAAGGUA
rnacentral:rRNA from 1 species